AGAGGAGCCAGCUCUCUGGUUUCUACUGAAAUGUUUCUAGCAUUAAACAAACAUUGGAGGAAACACAAACAUCUGUCUGGAAGCGAAGCCUGGAGCUCGUGAAUUCCAGGGCUGGCUGUGGCCCCUGCCUCUGAUUUCCUGUGUGGGCCAGGACAAUUGGCUUCUUCUCUCUGUGUCUUAGUCACUCAGCUACACUAAUGCACGAGAAUGCUCAGACGACAUGGUAUCUCUUAGGAUGAUCUAUAUCUUAAGGGCAA
rnacentral:lncRNA from 1 species